UGACUUUUUUCUUAAUCAAACUUUUUUAAGUUUGAUCAAGUUUAUAGAAAAGAUAGAAACAUUUUCAGCCCAAAAUAAACAUAUAUCAAAAUAUAUUAAAUGUUAGUUUUAAUGAAACUAAUUUUGUGUUGUAGAUGUUAUUAAAUUUUUCUAUAAACUUGGUUAAACUUAAAUAAGUUUGAUUAGGAUAAAAAUUAA
rnacentral:pre_miRNA from 1 species